rnacentral:rRNA from 1 species
GACGAACGCUGGCGGCGUGCUUAACACAUGCAAGUCGAACGGAAAGGCCCUGCUUUUGUGGGGUGCUCGAGUGGCGAACGGGUGAGUAACACGUGAGUAACCUGCCCUUGACUUUGGGAUAACUUCAGGAAACUGGGGCUAAUACCGGAUAGGAGCUCCUGCUGCAUGGUGGGGGUUGGAAAGUUUCGGCGGUUGGGGAUGGACUCGCGGCUUAUCAGCUUGUUGGUGGGGUAGUGGCUUACCAAGGCUUUGACGGGUAGCCGGCCUGAGAGGGUGACCGGGCACAUUGGGACUGAGAUACGGCGCAGACUCCUACGGGAGGCAGCAGUGGGGAAUAUUGCACAAUGGGCGGAAGCCUGAUGCAGCAACGCCGCGUGCGGGAUGACGGCCUUCGGGUUGUAAACCGCUUUCGCCUGUGACGAAGCGUGAGUGACGGUAAUGGGUAAAGAAGCACCGGCUAACUACGUG